GGAAAUAGGUGAGUUCCACCCACCCACUGCUGCUGAUGCAGAGACUGGGGCUCAGGGCAUCUGCGCAGCCCUUCCCUUUGGCACUGAUCCUGCACUGGAAUGUUGUGUUGUUGCCAAACCGGGCCUCAAACCAGGAGAAGGUAAGCCCUGACCAUUUGCCCCUGACCCACCCACAGUGUGUUAUCUGGAGCGUGUGCCUCAGCUGGUGUCACUUGAGUUUCACCAGAGUUGCAAGUUGGCUCCUGCUCUGGGCGAUUCCGAGUGACCAUCACAUCAGUUCUGCACUAAGCACCGUUUAGCCAGACCCAGAGAUUUGGCCACAUAGUGACUUCUGAACAGAAAAUCAAAAUGCAGGAAAAGUGCCAGGACCACUGACGGGCCUGGGUACAGCACGGUCUUUGUGGGUCACUGUCACUCCAGGCCCUUACAGUCUCUCCUCAUCUUUCUUGUAGGCUCCCUUCAGGUGCAGGAGCCAUUGCUCACUGGUGUUUUUGACUAUUCUCUGCCAAGGAAAUGAGUUGAAUUUCCUUGUCAAAUCUAAUAGGCUUUUAUACUUGGGCUUCUCUGCUGUGGGAUUCAUACUUAGAGACUGGUGUUGGUGUCUGGACGCUUCCAGAAGGUGGAUGUUAUCCCUGGAUGUAUAAAGAAAACGCCUAUCCAUCAUCUCUCAGGCAAUGAGAGCGGUGCAGGUGUCUGGCAUGGCAGCCUUUCCACCAGUUCACUGGUUGAGCUGGUGCCAAGGUGAGCCCACUCUCUAAAUUUCCCUUGCAUGCCUCAAGGCGUGCAUCGUAAGAUUCGUGCUUGUUGGAAGGACAGGAUUGAGCCGGUCUCCUGAGCAGUGAGUGUCAGGCGACGUUCUCUUUGCUGCACGUUGGUGACUCCAGGGGGUUCUGGAGUAAUACAGACAUGCAGGCUCGAGAAGGCACAAAAGAGUGCUUUCCUUUCAAACACGGGAACUGGUGAAAAAGUGUGGUUUGUCUCUCACUGCCUGCAUUCCCUUCAACCCAGCGAGGCCGUAUGGAGCUGAUGACUUCCUGCCUGUGUUGACAUAGGCCCUAGCCCAGUGUGAUGAACUGGAGACUGAAAUCGAAUACAUGACAGAGUGGCUGGAUCCAUCCUUGGUGUAUGGAGAAGCUAAAGGCUGAGAGGGGACACUGUCGGUAAUACAG